GUCUUAGUAGUUUCAGAGGAGAAGAUUUUUGUAAAAGAUUACAAAAAUUUACGAAAAAUGGUUAAAAAUUGACUGUAAAGGGCAAUAACUCCUUAAGGGGUCAACUGACCAUUUUGGUCAAGUUGACUUAUUUGUAGAUCUUACUUUGCUGAACAUUAUUGCUGUUUACAGUUUAUCUCUAUCUAUAAUAAUAUUCAAGAUAAUAACCAAAAACGGCAAAAUUUCCUUAAAAUUACCAAUUCAGGGGCAGCAACCCAACAACGGGUUGUCCGAUUCAUCUGAGAAUUUCAGGGCAGAUAGAUCUUGACCUGAUAAACAAUUUUACCCCAUGUCAGAUUUGCUCUAAAUGCUUUGGUUUCAGAGAUAUGAGCCAAAAUCUACAUGUUACCCCUAUGUUCUAUUUUUAGCCAUGGCGGCCAUCUUGGUUGGUUGGCCGGGUCACCGGACACAUUUUUUAAACUAGAUACCCUAAUGAUGAUUGUGGACAAGUUUGGUUAAAUUUGUCUUAGUAGUUUCAGAGGAGAAGAUUUUUGUAAAAGAUUACAAAAAUUUACGAAAAAUGGUUAAAAAUUGACUAUAAAGGGCAAUAACUCCUUAAGGGGUCAACUGACCAUUUUGGUCAAGUUGACUUAUUUGUAGAUCUUACUUUGCUGAACAUUAUUGCUGUUUACAGUUUAUCUCUAUCUAUAAUAAUAUUCAAGAUAAUAACCAAAAACGGCAAAAUUUCCUUAAAAUUACCAAUUCAGGGGCAGCAACCCAACAACGGGUUGUCCGAUUCAUCUGAGAAUUUCAGGGCAGAUAGAUCUUGACCUGAUAAACAAUUUUACCCCAUGUCAGAUUUGCUCUAAAUGCUUUGGUUUCAGAGAUAUGAGCCAAAAUCUACAUGUUACCCCUAUGUUCUAUUUUUAGCCAUGGCGGCCAUCUUGGUUGGUUGGCCGGGUCACCGGACACAUUUUUUAAACUAGAUACCCUAAUGAUGAUUGUGGACAAGUUUGGUUAAAUUUGUCUUAGUAGUUUCAGAGGAGAAGAUUUUUGUAAAAGAUUACAAAAAUUUACGAAAAAUGGUUAAAAAUUGACUGUAAAGGGCAAUAACUCCUUAAGGGGUCAACUGACCAUUUUGGUCAAGUUGACUUAUUUGUAGAUCUUACUUUGCUGAACAUUAUUGCUGUUUACAGUUUAUCUCUAUCUAUAAUAAUAUUCAAGAUAAUAACCAAAAACGGCAAAAUUUCCUUAAAAUUACCAAUUCAGGGGCAGCAACCCAACAACGGGUUGUCCGAUUCAUCUGAGAAUUUCAGGGCAGAUAGAUCUUGACCUGAUAAACAAUUUUACACCACGUCAGAUU